AAAAAAAAAAAAAAAAAAAAGAAAGAAAGAAAGAAAAAGAAAAGAAAUACCAACAAAUGGAUAAAGUGAGAGAAAAUUAAAAAAAAAUGGGAAAAGAAAAAAAAAUUAAUGGGAAAAAGAAACGGGGGAAAAGGAAGGAAAAAAACAUGGGGAAAGUGCCCCUCACCUCUUACCUUCUCCUCUCCAAUCCGCAGCUAUAGUCCCGCAGAUUGUAAAAUAUCCAAAAUAUGUCCACGUCUUUUGUGACUUUCCCCGCUCAGCCGCGCUCCUUCCCUCCCGCUCGCCCUCCCUCCAGACCCGACUGCAACGGGCUCACAACCCGCGCCCCGUAAUUGAUUCAAUGUUAUAGUCCAUCCUUCCAAAACUAAUCAUUUGCUUUAAGUAAAUAGCUGUCAGGAAAUGAAGCCCCCCUCCGGCCCCUUCGCAAUAAGAGCCGCCCUGGCUCGCCCGGCGCCCCCAGCCCCGCGGCCGGAGGCGGGCGCAGGAGGGAGGCUCUUACGGAGGCAGGGGGGCCAAUCUCAGCCUCCAGAUUUCAGCAGCCUCGCAGGGGAGGGGGAGGCUGGCCAUAUGGCAGGGGGAGGAAAAGGGGGGAAUCGGAGAGUUUUGCACUGCGGGGGGAAGGAAAAAAAAAAAUAAAGGGGGAAAAAAAAAAAAAACUUUGGUGAAAAGUCAGAGGGCUCCCAAUUUCGUGAAUGAGCCUCCUCCCUCAGCCCCUCCAGGACGGUGGGUCACGGUGUGAGGUUAUGGACGGGGAGCUGGAGCUGGAAACGAAUUGGCGGCUUCCUCGUGUCCUUUGUGCGCUCCUGAGCGCGGGCACGGGCCGCAGAGCAGCACGGAGGGCUGCGAGGCAGCCAGAAGCAGGAGGCACCGGGCGAGAGGGGCAGAGCCGCACCGCUCGGGUUUAUGAAUGAAACCACAACGAAAGGCAGCCGUCGCCGGGAGCCGGCCGCCCCAAACCCUGCUGCUGUGCCGGGACCGGGGAAGCUCUUCUCAUCCUCUGUGCCCUCGGCCCGGGAGCCCGGUCUGAGCUCGCCCGGGGCCCCGACGGCUUUAGCCGGGGACCUCCGCCUCGCCGUGGCGACCAGCGCUGGCCGGGGGAGGUGGCGGGGGCUGCCCCCGUCGCCCCGCUGCGGGGUCCCGGAGCCGAGCCCGGCGAGCGGGGCGAUGCUGCGGCCGCGGGAGAGGGGGCAGUGCAGCCCCAGGAACCGAGCGGGGACGGAGGCCCCUGGCUCCAGGGAGGGCUCCGGCCUCGGAGCCGAGCCCCCGGGCUUCUCCCGCUUCCUCCCUUCCCGCUCCGGCCCGCCUCCCUCCCUUUUUUCUUUUUAUUACUAUUUUUUUCCGUUUAGGGCUAAACAAAAGUUUUGUCCUCAAAGUCAAGCGGCAGGAUGCGGUGGUUUUUCUCCCUCCCUAAACCAAGGAGAGCUGAGCCUCCGGAGCGAAGAUGCCCCGAAGGGAGUGAGGGCAGGCAGGAGAAGAACAGCGUGCUCAGGCCGAGGGCCCUGUGGCGAGGCUCGCAGGGUCCCCAGCCUUUUUGCACGCUCUCCGCUAGUGCAUCCUCAGCUCGGAACAUAUAGAAGAAGAAGAAAAAACAACCAAGAGAAUGACCGAAGUCCCCCUGGAGGUGUGACUCUCCCUACAAAUGCCAGGGCUAUCUGA
ensembl:lncRNA